UGUUUGUGUUGUUAGUAUGAGUUGGAAUAUCUACGUGUAAGUAGAAGAUCAAGCUUGCCCAUUUGAUUUCACACAUUUCAUUUCUACCAUAAUCAUGUCAUGACAUCUGAAAAAUGGUUUUGUUUUAGUUCCUGCAAAUCCGAAGUACCUCACCUGACAGCGGCCUUGGCACUGACAACUACAGCCCGGCAUCUCCGAGCCAAAGCUUUUACUACGAAGAUCCCGAGUUUGUCCAGAGGGGUCGGGCGAAUUCUCCAAGCCUGAGCUUGUACCAAGACUGAUGCAGAGCUGUACCGACCAACUUCCCCUCACGAAAGUGUGCACGAAG